AUACGUAGGGUGCAAGCGUUAAUCGGAAUUACUGGGCGUAAAGCGUGCGCAGGCGGUUUUGUAAGACAGAGGUGAAAUUCCCGGGCUCAACCUGGGAACUGCCUUUGUGACUGCAAGGCUAGAGUACGGCAGAGGGGGAUGGAAUUCCGCGUGUAGCAGUGAAAUGCGUAGAUAUGCGGAGGAAAACCGAUGGGGAAGGCAAUCCCCUGGGCCUGUACUGACGCUCAUGCACGAAAGCGUGGGGAGCAAAGAGGAGUAGAUACCCUGGUAGUCCACUCCCUAAACGAUGUCAACUGGUUGUUGGGUCUUCAUUGACUCAGUAACGAAGCUAACGCGUGAAGUUGACCGCCUGGGGAGUACGGCCGCAAGGUUGAAACUCAAAGGAAUUGACGGGG
rnacentral:rRNA from 1 species